rnacentral:tRNA from 1 species
AGAUGUAGCUGAUAGGGAGCUUAGUUGUUGGGGCGCCCAGUAAGCGAAAUUCAAAUGAUUUCGGACAGGAGUUCGAUUCUCCUCAUCUCCACCA